AUGCUCGCGGUACUAGUAGUGUGGAUGCUGCUGGGGCCGGAAAUGCGGGGUCCUGGUGGUGGGAAACGGGGAAAGA
rnacentral:tRNA from 1 species